rnacentral:misc_RNA from 1 species
CCGCCAUUGGGGAAGUACAAGUUGGACGGGCUCCCUCGGCCGCCGCCGCCGCCGCCGCCGUUCCCUUUCCUCGCCUCACCGGCGGCCACCGCGGCAGCCGCCAUCUCCUGGCCCUGGUACAUGAGCGUGGAGUUCAUCGUCAGGCUCACCAAGCUGUCGUCGGCGUCGCUCCUGGGGAAGUUGCCGCCGCCGCCGCCGUCGCUUCCCCCGGCGUCGUCGCCGGCGGCGUCGACGUCGCGCGUGGUCACCAUCACCGCGGACUGCACGAGCUCAAGGCAGAGCCUGAGCUUGUUGGGCUCGAUGUGCGUGAGCC